rnacentral:rRNA from 1 species
CGACCUGAGAUCAGACGAGAUUACCCGCUGAAUUUAAGCAUAUCAU